AUAAACAUCUGUUUCUGCAGAUAUGAUGGGUUUGAACCAGCACUAAACAUUAUAAUUGCUAUCAUUUACUAUAGCUGAUGGUGUGGUGUUUACAUGAAUCAUUAAGAGGCUUGCAGUAAAUAGGUAGUGAGAGCUAGUGCCUAUUUCUUUGACUUUAAUAGCACAUAAAAUUAAUUGCUUGAAAAUAAUCUUUCAAAAUAUAUAUUUCUUGAUAUCUAUAAACUCCUGCAGAGAUAAUCCAAAAAGGUUUUGUGGGCUGUCUCAAGGAUGUACAUUUUAUGAAGAAUUACAAUCCGUCAGCUAUUUGGGAACCUCUGGAUUGGCAGAGUUCUGAAGAACAAAUCAACGUGUAUAACAGCUGGGAGGGAUGUCCCGCUUCAUUAAAUGAGGGAGCUCAGUUCCUAGGAGCAGGGUUCCUGGAACUUCAUCCAUAUAUGUUUCAUGGUGGAAUGAACUUUGAGAUUUCCUUUAAGUUCAGAACUGACCAAUUAAAUGGAUUGCUUCUUUUCGUUUAUAACAAAGAUGGACCUGAUUUUCUUGCUGUAUGUGAAUUAAUUUGAUUAAAAUUACUUUAAAAUAUAGGACCCAACUUUAAAAUAAAUAAACCAUGUGUUGGCA
rnacentral:sRNA from 1 species